UCUAUUGAGAUAGCUCAGUUGGUAGAGCACAAGAGUCUUAAUCUCAGGUUUGUGGGUUUGAGUCCCACAUGUGAUGAA